rnacentral:rRNA from 1 species
AAACGCUACGCGGCUAUACUGCAAGUCGAACGGUGCUUCGGGCAUAGUGGCGCACGGGUGCGUAACACGUAUGCAACCUACCUUACAUUGGGGGAUAGCCUUUCGAAAGGGAGAUUAAUACCGCAUAAUACAAUGAGUUGGCAUCAGCUUAUUGUUAAAGAUUUAUCGAUGUAAGAUGGGCAUGCGUCCAAUUAGUUAGUUGGCGAGGUAACGGCUCACCAAGACGAUGAUUGGUAGGGGAACUGAGAGGUCAAUCCCCCACACUGGCACUGAGAUACGGGCCAGACUCCUACGGGAGGCAGCAGUAGGGACAUAUUGGGCAAUGGACGCAAGUCUGACCCAGCCAUGCCGCGUGCAGGAAGACGGGCCUCUGGGUUGUAAACUGCUUUUAUAUAGGAAGAAAGAAUCCUUGCGAGGAUAGUUGACGGUACUAUAAGAAUAAGCACCGGCUAACUCCGUGCCAGCAGCCGCGGUAAUACGGAGGGUGCAAGCGUUGUCCGGAUUUAUUGGGUUUAAAGGGUGCGCAGGUGGUUUAUUAAGUCAGUGGUGAAAGACGGUCGCUUAACGAUUGCA